rnacentral:rRNA from 1 species
AUUGAACGCUGGCGGCAGGCCUAACACAUGCAAGUCGGACGGUAGCACAGGGGAGCUUGCUCCUCGGGUGACGAGUGGCGGACGGGUGAGUAAUGUCUGGGGAUCUGCCCGAUAGAGGGGGAUAACCACUGGAAACGGUGGCUAAUACCGCAUAAUGUCGCAAGACCAAAGAGGGGGACCUUCGGGCCUCUCACUAUCGGAUGAACCCAGAUGGGAUUAGCUAGUAGGCGGGGUAACGGCCCACCUAGGCGACGAUCCCUAGCUGGUCUGAGCGGAUGACCAGGCACACUGGAACUGAGGCACGGUCCAGACUCCUACGGGAGGCAGCAGUGGGGAAUAUUGCACAAUGGGCGCAAGCCUGAUGCGGCCAUGCCGCGUGUAUGAAGAAGGCCUUCGGGUUGUAAAGUACUUUCAGCGGGGAGGAAGGCGGCAAGGUUAAUAACCUUGCCGAUUGACGUUACCCGCAGAAGAAGCACCGGCUAACUCCGUGCCAGCCGCCGCCGUAA